AGAUGAGUAGCUCAGCGGGAGAGCGACGGCCUGAAAAGUCGUAGGUCGAAGGUUCGACUCCUUCCUCACCAA
rnacentral:tRNA from 1 species